AGAGUUUGAUCAUGGCUCAGAUUGAACGCUGGCGGCAGGCCUAACACAUGCAAGUCGAACGGUAACAGGAAGAAGCUUGCUUCUUUGCUGACGAGUGGCGGACGGGUGAGUAAUGUCUGGGAAACUGCCUGAUGGAGGGGGAUAACUACUGGAAACGGUAGCUAAUACCGCAUAACGUCGCAAGACCAAAGAGGGGGACCUUCGGGCCUCUUGCCAUCGGAUGUGCCCAGAUGGGAUUAGCUAGUAGGUGGGGUAACGGCUCACCUAGGCGACGAUCCCUAGCUGGUCUGAGAGGAUGACCAGCCACACUGGAACUGAGACACGGUCCAGACUCCUACGGGAGGCAGCAGUGGGGAAUAUUGCACAAUGGGCGCAAGCCUGAUGCAGCCAUGCCGCGUGUAUGAAGAAGGCCUUCGGGUUGUAAAGUACUUUCAGCGGGGAGGAAAGGAGUAAAGUUAAUACCUUUGCUCAUUGACGUUACCCGCAGAAGAAGCACCGGCUAACUCCGUGCCAGCAGCCGCGGUAAUACGGAGGGUACAAGCGUUAAUCGGAAUUACUGGGCGUAAAGCGCACGCAGGCGGUUUGUUAAGUCAGAUGUGAAAUCCCCGGGCUCAACCUGGGAACUGCAUCUGAUACUGGCAAGCUUGAGUCUCGUAGAGGGGGGUAGAAUUCCAGGUGUAGCGGUGAAAUGCGUAGAGAUCUGGAGGAAUACCGGUGGCGAAGGCGGCCCCCUGGACGAAGACUGACGCUCAGGUGCGAAAGCGUGGGGAGCAAACAGGAUUAGAUACCCUGGUAGUCCACGCCGUAAACGAUGUCGACUUGGAGGUUGUGCCCUUGAGGCGUGGCUUCCGGAGCUAACGCGUUAAGUCGACCGCCUGGGGAGUACGGCCGCAAGGUUAAAACUCAAAUGAAUUGACGGGGGCCCGCACAAGCGGUGGAGCAUGUGGUUUAAAUUCGAUGCAACGCGAAGAACCUUACCUGGUCUUGACAUCCACGGAAGUUUUCAGAGAUGAGAAUGUGCCUUCGGGAACCGUGAGACAGGUGCUGCAUGGCUGUCGUCAGCUCGUGUUGUGAAAUGUUGGGUUAAGUCCCGCAACGAGCGCAACCCUUAUCCUUUGUUGCCAGCGGUCCGGCCGGGAACUCAAAGGAGACUGCCAGUGAUAAACUGGGGGAAGGUGGGGAUGACGUCAAGUCAUCAUGGCCCUUACGACCAGGGCUACACACGUGCUACAAUGGCGCAUACAAAGAGAAGCGACCUCGCGAGAGCAAGCGGACCUCAUAAAGUGCGUCGUAGUCCGGAUUGGAGUCUGCAACUCGACUCCAUGAAGUCGGAAUCGCUAGUAAUCGUGGAUCAGAAUGCCACGGUGAAUACGUUCCCGGGCCUUGUACACACCGCCCGUCACACCAUGGGAGUGGGUUGCAAAAGAAGUAGGUAGCUUAACCUUCGGGAGGGCGCUUACCACUUUGUGAUUCAUGACUGGGGUGAAGUCGUAACAAGGUA
rnacentral:rRNA from 1 species